rnacentral:rRNA from 1 species
ACGACGCUGGCGGCGUGCCUAACACAUGCAAGUCAACUUGACUGAAGGAGCAAUCUGACAGUAGAGUGGCGCAAGGGUGACGUAACGCGUAAGUAACUUGCCCAAGGUAAGGAAUAACGUCGAGAAAUCGGCGCUAAUACCUCAUAAUGCAGCGGAUCCGCAUGGAUAUGUUGUUAAAGGUUUACCGCCUUGGGAUAGGCUUGCGUCUGAUUAGCUAGUUGGUGUGGUAACGGCACACCAAGGCUACGAUCAGUAACUGGUCUGAGAGGAUGAUCAGUCACACUGGAACUGAGACACGGUCCAGACUCCUACGGGAGGCAGCAGUGAGGAAUAUUGGGCAAUGCUCGAAAGAGUGACCCAGCAACGCCGCGUGGAGGAUGAAGGUAUUCUAUAUCGUAAACUCCUGUGAGAGCAGACGAAAGACAGAUUAUUAAUCUGGAUGACUGUAUGCUCAGAGGAAGCCCCGGCUAACUACGUG